AUUCAUGUUUAGCUGGUUUCUUUUUAGGAAUCUUCACAAGACAAAUCUAACGAGAAUGACAUUGAAGGGGACCAGAAAUUGCCAGUGGAGCUUAAUCAUGAAGUACAGUUCAAGAUUGGCAGCUACACUGAGGUAGAGUAUGAGCUGAACAGAGGAAGAAAGAAGGAAUGUAAAAAAUAUGUUGGAGAAAUUAUUGAUGCGGUCGAUGAUGAACCAUAUGUUAGCUUUUUGGAUAACUGAACUGUAAGAAACAUUAAGAAGAAAAGACUGACUCAUAGAAGAUAAAAGCCUUAAAGGCACCAUCACAAAUUGUGAGACAUUUGAAUAUUCCAGAAGAAAUUAUUCAAGGACGUGCGAAAUGUUGAAUAUUCCAGAAGAAAUUAUUCAAGGACAUGCAGAAAUGUUGUUU